UCUAGGGGUUCUGAGAGGAUUGUCCCCCACACUGGUACUGAGACACGGACCAGACUCCUACGGGAGGCAGCAGUGAGGAAUAUUGGUCAAUGGUCGAAAGACUGAACCAGCCAUGCCGCGUGCAGGAAGAAUGUUCUAUGAAUUGUAAACUGCUUUUCUACAGGAAGAAAUGUACCUACGUGUAGGUAUUUGACGGUACUGUAGGAAUAAGCACCGGCUAACUCCGUGCCAGCAGCCGCGGUAAUACGGAGGGUGCAAGCGUUAUCCGGAUUUAUUGGGUUUAAAGGGUGCGUAGGCGGAAUAAUAAGUCAGUGGUGAAAUCCUGCGGCUCAACCGUAGAACUGCCAUUGAUACUGUUAUUCUUGAAUUUAGUUGAGGUAGGCGGAAUGUGUAAUGUAGCGGUGAAAUGCUUAGAUAUUACACAGAACACCGAUUGCGAAGGCAGCUUGCUAAACUAAUAUUGACGCUGAUGCACGAAAGCGUGGGGAGCGAACAGGAUUAGAUACCCUGGUAGUCCACGCUGUAAACGAUGAUCACUCGUUGUUUGCGAUAUAUUGUAAGCGACUGAGCGAAAGCAUUAAGUGAUCCACCUGGGGAGUACGUUCGCAAGAAUGAAACUCAAAGGAAUUGACGGGGGCCCGCACAAGCGGAGGAACAUGUGGUUUAAUUCGAUGAUACGCGAGGAACCUUACCUGGGUUUAAAUGUAGGUUGCAUGAGUGGGAAACUACUCUUUCCUUCGGGACUACUUACAAGGUGCUGCAUGGUUGUCGUCAGCUCGUGCCGUGAGGUGUCGGGUUAAGUCCCAUAACGAGCGCAACCCCUAUCGUUAGUUGCCAUCAGGUCAUGCUGGGGACUCUAACGAGACUGCCGGUGUAAACCGUGAGGAAGGUGGGGAUGACGUCAAAUCAGCACGGCCCUUAUAUCCAGGGCUACACACGUGUUACAAUGGUCGAUACAAAGAGCAGCCACUUGGUGACAAGGCGCUAAUCUCUAAAGUCGAUCACAGUUCGGAUCGAAGUCUGCAACUCGACUUCGUGAAGUUGGAUUCGCUAAUCGCGCAUCAGCCACGGCGCGGUGAAUACGUUCCCGGGCCUUGUACACACCGCCCGUCAAGCCAUGGAAGCUGGGGGUACCUGAAGUCUGUAACCGCAAGGAGCGGCCUAAGGUAAAACUAGUAACUGGGGCUAAGUCGUAACAAGGUA
rnacentral:rRNA from 1 species